rnacentral:rRNA from 1 species
UACGGAGGGUGCAAGCGUUAAUCGGAAUUACUGGGCGUAAAGCGCGCGCAGGCGGCGAUCUACGUCUGGGGUGAAAGCCCGGAGCUCAACUCCGGGACUGCCUUGGAUACGGGAUCGCUUGAGGAUUGGAGAGGCAAGGGGAAUUCCACGUGUAGCGGUGAAAUGCGUAGAUAUGUGGAGGAACACCUGUGGCGAAGGCGCCUUGCUGGCCAAUUUCUGACGCUGAGGCGCGAAAGCGUGGGGAGCAAACAGG